CGCUCCAGUCGCCAUCGCCCAGUAGUCGUCGCCGUCGCCCAUCUCCAGUCGCCAUCGCCGUCGCCCAUCUCCAGUCGCCGUCGCCGUCGCCCAUCUUCGUCCGAGUCCCCUUCCGCUCUUGAUUUCGCGGAUCCAGUCGCCGUCGCCAUCGCCCAUCUCUGUCGCCCAUCUUCGUCCGCGCCCCUUCCGUUCUCGAUUCCGCGGAUCCAGUUGCCGUCGCCCCUUUCUGCUUUCGAUUCCUCACGAG
rnacentral:lncRNA from 1 species